rnacentral:rRNA from 1 species
UUGAGGAAGUAAAAGUCGUAACAAGGUCUCCGUAGGUGAACCUGCGGAGGGAUCAUUA